AUUGAACGCUGGCGGCAUGCCUUACACAUGCAAGUCGAGGGGUAGAGAAGAGCUUGCUUUUCUUGAGACCGGCGCACGGGUGCGUAACGCGUAUGCAACCUACCCUUAUCAGGGGGAUAGCCUCUCGAAAGAGAGAUUAACACCGCAUAAAAACACAGUACGGCAUCGUACAAUGUUCAAAUAUUUAUAGGAUAAAGAUGGGCAUGCGUGACAUUAGCUAGUUGGUGAGGUAAGGGCUCACCAAGGCGACGAUGUCUAGGGGAUCUGAGAGGAUGACCCCCCACACUGGUACUGAGACACGGACCAGACUCCUACGGGAGGCAGCAGUAAGGAAUAUUGGUCAAUGGGGGCAACCCUGAACCAGCCAUGCCGCGUUCAGGAAGACGGCCCUACGGGUUGUAAACUGCUUUUAUACGGGGAUAAACCCCUUUACGUGUAAAGGGUUGAAUGUACUGUAAGAAUAAGGAUCGGCUAACUCCGUGCCAGCAGCCGCCGUAACAC
rnacentral:rRNA from 1 species